UAGUGCGAUUUCAUGCCAGCGUGUGUCCU
rnacentral:piRNA from 1 species